GGAGAUCUAUUUCUAAUUGGUAAGAUAGCAGUCUUGAAAACUGCCGGUGAAUAGCCUUCCAGGUUCGAGUCCUGGGAUCUCCGCCA
rnacentral:tRNA from 1 species